CUGUCCUUCCUUGGUGUUGGUUCGUGACUGCAUCUCUGCCCUCCUUGGUCGGAGCCAGUUUGGCAUUUAGUUGUCGGGCUGGGGACGAUCAUCGUUUACUGUGAAGAAAUUAGAGUGUUCAAAGCAGGCUUAGGCCUUGAAUACAUUAGCAUGGAAUAAUGAAAUAGGGUUUUGGCACUAUUUUGUUGGUUUGCGCGCCGAAACAAUGAUUAAUAGGGACAGUUUGGGGAUAUUCGUAUUCAAUUGUCAGAGGUGAAAUUCUUGGAUUUCUGGAAGACGAACGACUGCGAAAGCAUUUAUCAAGGAUGUUUUCAUUAAUCAAGAACGAAAGUUAGGGGAUCGAAGAUGAUUAGAUACCAUCGUAGUCUUAACCAUAAACCAUGCCGACUAGGGAUUUGCGGUUGUUCUUGUAGACUCCGUAAGCACCUUAUGAGAAAUCAAAGUGUUUGGGUUCCGGGGGGAGUAUGGUCGCAAGGCUGAACUUAAAGAAUUGACGGAAGGCACCACCAGGAGGGAGCUGCGGCUUAUUUGNUCACACGGGAAACUUACAGGCCAACUAUGAGAUGNAAUGAAACUCUU
rnacentral:rRNA from 1 species